UACAGAGGUCCCGAGCGUUGUUCGGAUUCACUGGGCGUAAAGGGUGCGUAGGCGGUUUGGUAAGUCUUAUGUGAAAUCUAUGGGCUCAACUCAUAGUCUGCAUGAGAAACUGCCGGGCUUGAGUAUGGGAGAGGUGAGUGGAAUUCCUGGUGUAGCGGUGAAAUGCGUAGAUAUCGGGAGGAACACCUGUGGCGAAAGCGGCUCACUGGACCACAACUGACGCUGAGGCGCGAAAGCUAGGGGAGCAAACAGG
rnacentral:rRNA from 1 species